UACGAAGGGGGCUAGCGUUGCUCGGAAUCACUGGGCGUAAAGCGUGCGCAGGCGGUUAUGUAAGACAGAUGUGAAAUGCCCGGGCUUAACCUGGGAACUGCAUUUGUGACUGCAUGGCUAGAGUUUGGCAGAGGGGGUAGAAUUCCACGUGUAGCAGUGAAAUGCGUAGAUAUGUGGAGGAACACCGAUGGCGAAGGCAGCCCCCUGGGUCAAGACUGAC
rnacentral:rRNA from 1 species